ACCAUAGUGCGAUAGUUCUACCUGACUCCAUUCCGAACUCAGAAGU
rnacentral:rRNA from 1 species